CCCCCGCCCAGCUCACAGUGCCCCCUGCUGUUUACAAGCUGUAACACAGACAUAACAGUCAUGUGACCUGUCAGUGAUUUGGCGCUUCUCGAGUUGUCUGUCUAAACCAGUCCAAACUACCUCUGCGAGUUUUGGAUCAUUUGUCAUCAAGUACAAAAAUAUUGCCAUUACUAAUAAAACAAUAUCCAAUGCCAAAACAAAUUUACGCCAUGUUUUGGCUUGAUUUCUGCAGGAGGAACAGUUUUUCUCUUACGUGAAAAAAUGCAUAAUUGCAAGCAUUUCAUUAAUCAUUAUUUUAUCUUGUGUUAAACAUUUGAGUAAAAACUCUCUCCACUGAGCUGCUGCAUAUGAUCAUUACUUUUUAUGAAAGGGCGACAGCAAAAGAGAAAACACAACGAAAUUGCAGAUUAUGGAAAAGGUGGGACAACACGUAAUGUAAUGUAAUGUAACAUCACUUCUUGUUUGUGAUUGGACAGAACUCAAGUCAGUUCACUGUAAUUUCCUUUUCUCUUGUGUACUACUCUCAGCAGUGUCCUUGCACAAAUUUUAAACUGAGUUUGAAAGGAUGGAAUAGGAGAUUGAAAUCAUAAGGGAAUAUUUUAACAAAGGACAUUCAUAUGAUGUAAUUAUCUCCUCCAGGCGAGAGAGUCUUGUUAAUUGGAGGACAGGCACUGAGAUUAUACCCAAACACGUGCAAGCCUUUAAAGCCAAAUUGCUUGUAUUAAAAAAUAUAUUAAAAUGUUUGAAUGUAUAUUUAAUUAACUGGUUGUGCAUCAGGGUUUCAUCUGAGCUAUUUAAUAAAUGGAUGAUAAAACACAUUAAGUAAAAACAUUUAAAAAGAGUUUUUAAAAAGACCUAUAAGUCAGUGUUCUUCCCUCAAGUAGCCAGACAUCCUGUUACCAUGGCUACUGAAGAACCACAGAACAAAACACAGGGAGACCCCACGAUCGAAGCAGGCGACAUUCAUUACGCUUCUCUGGGCCGUCAGAACUGGAGAGAGAGGCCGUACACUCAGGGCGAGAGACACCAUGUGAUCUACUCCACUGUGGCUGGAGGGCCAGUUUAGCCCAUGGUCAGAGGAGGACGGCACUACGUCCUCACAAAACGAUAACAACGUCCUCACAAAACGAUAACAAUGUCCUCACAAAACAAUAACAAUGUCUUCACAAAACAAUAACAACUUCCUUAUCACAC